rnacentral:rRNA from 1 species
AUUGAACGCUGGCGGCAGGCCUAACACAUGCAAGUCGAACGAGUGGCGGACGGGUGAGUAAUGUCUGGGAAACUGCCUGAUGGAGGGGGAUAACUACUGGAAAAGGUAGCUAAUACCGCAUACCAUCGGAUGUGCCCAGAUGGGAUUAGCUAGUAGGUGGGGUAAAGGCUCACCUAGGCGACGAUCCCGAGCUGGUCUGAGAGGAUGACCAGCCACACUGGAACUGAGACACGGGCCAGACUCCUAAUGGAGGCAGCAGUGGGGAAUAGUGCACAAUGGGCGCAAGCCUGAUGCAGCCAUGCCGCUUGUAUGAAGAAGGCCUGCGGGUUGUAAAGUACUGUCAGCGGGGAGGCGUUACCCGCAGAAGAAGCACCGGCGAACUCCGUGCCAGCAGCCGCGUAAUUC